rnacentral:rRNA from 1 species
CCUACGGGUGGCUGCAGUGGGGAAUAUUGGACAAUGGGCGAAAGCCUGAUCCAGCCAUGCCGCGUGUGUGAAGAAGGCCUUCGGGUUGUAAAGCACUUUCAGUGGGGAAGAAAGCCUUGGGGCUAAUACCCUCGAGGAAGGACAUCACCCACAGAAGCAGCACCGACUAACUCCGUGCCAGCAGCCGCGGUAAUACGGAGGGUGCGAGCGUUAAUCGGAAUUACUGGGCGUAAAGCGUGCGUAGGCGGUCUGAUAAGCCGGUUGUGAAAGCCCCGGGCUCAACCUGGGAACGGCAUCCGGAACUGUCAGGCUAGAGUGCAGGAGAGGAAGGUAGAAUUCCCGGUGUAGCGGUGAAAUGCGUAGAGAUCGGGAGGAAUACCAGUGGCGAAGGCGGCCUUCUGGACUGACACUGACGCUGAGGUGCGAAAGCGUGGGUAGCAAACAGGAUUAGAUACCCGAGUAGUC